rnacentral:rRNA from 1 species
GUCCACGCCGUAAACGAUGAUCACUGGUUGUUAGCGAUACACAGUUAGCGACUGAGCGAAAGCAUUAAGUGAUCCACCUGGGGAGUACGUCGGCAACGAUGAAACUCAAAGGAAUUGACGGGGGCCCGCACAAGCGGAGGAACAUGUGGUUUAAUUCGAUGAUACGCGAGGAACCUUACCUGGGCUCGAACGCAGGGGGAAUAUGGAAGAAAUUUCAUAGCUAGCAAUAGCCGCCUGCGAGGUGCUGCAUGGUUGUCGU